UACAGAGGGGGCAAGCGUUGUUCGGAAUUACUGGGCGUAAAGGGCGCGUAGGCGGCCUGCUAAGUCGAACGUGAAAUCCCCGAGCUCAACUCGGGAACUGCGUCCGAUACUGACAGGCUUGAAUCCGGGAGAGGGAUGCGGAAUUCCAGAUGUAGCGGUGAAAUGCGUAGAUAUGCGGAGGAACACCGAUGGCGAAGGCAAUCCCCUGGGCCUGUACUGACGCUCAUGCACGAAAGCGUGGGGAGCAAACAGG
rnacentral:rRNA from 1 species